rnacentral:rRNA from 1 species
CGCGGCCUAUCAGCUUGUUGGUGGGGUGAUGGCCUACCAAGGCGACGACGGGUAGCCGGCCUGAGAGGGCGAUCGGCCACACUGGAACUGAGACACGGUCCAGACUCCUACGGGAGGCAGCAGUGGGGAAUAUUGCGCAAUGGGCGGAAGCCUGACGCAGCGACGCCGCGUGAGGGAUGAAGGUCUUCGGAUUGUAAACCUCUUUCAGUAGGGACGAAUUUAGACGGUACCUGCAGAAGAAGCACCGGCCAACUACGUGCCAGCAGCCGCGGUAAUACGUAGGGUGCGAGCGUUGUCCGGAAUUAUUGGGCGUAAAGAGCUCGUAGGCGGUUCGUCGCGUCGAAUGUGAAAUCCCGGGGCUCAACUCCGGGUCUGCAUUCGAUACGGGCGGACUAGAGUUCGGUAGGGGAGACUGGAAUUCCUGGUGUAGCGGUGAAAUGCGCAGAUAUCAGGAGGAACACCGGUGGCGAAGGCGGGUCUCUGGGCCGAUACUGACGCUGAGGAGCGAAAGCGUGGGGAGCGAACAGGAUUAGAUACCCUGGUAGUCCACGCCGUAAACGGUGGGCGCUAGGUGCGGGGGACUUCCACGUUCUCUGUGCCGCAGCUAACGCAUUAAGCGCCCCGCCUGGGGAGUACGG